rnacentral:rRNA from 1 species
CAGUCGCCGCGGGAAUACGUAGGUGGCAGGCGUUGUCCAGAAUUAUUGGGCGUAAAGCGCGCGCAGGUGGUUUAAUAAGUCUGAUGUGAAAGCCCCCGGCUCAACCGGGGAGGGUCAUUGGAAACUGGGAAACUUGAGUGCAGAAGAGGAGAGUGGAAUUCCACGUGUAGCGGUGAAAUGCGUAGAGAUGUGGAGGAACACCAGUGGCGAAGGCGACUCUCUGGUCUGUAACUGACGCUGAGGAGCGAAAGCGUGGGGAGCGAACAGGAUUAGAUACCCCCGUAGUCCCUGUCUCUUAUAC